GGCCAGGGGGAAAGAAAAAAUAUAGGCUGAAACAUUUAGUAUGGGCAAGCAGGGAGCUGGAAAGAUUCGCACUUAACCCUGGCC
rfam:HIV-1 M_02CD.LBTB032 proviral complete genome, isolate 02CD.LBTB032